AGUGGGAUAGCUGGGUCAAAUAGUGGUUCCAUUCAACGUGUUCUAAGGAAUCUCCAUACUGCUUUCCAUUGUGGUUGCACCACUUUGAAGUCCCACCAGCAAU
rnacentral:pre_miRNA from 1 species